rnacentral:rRNA from 1 species
UACAUGCAGUCGAGCGGACAGAUGGGAGCUUGCUCCCUGAUGUCAGCGGCGGACGGGUGAGUAACACGUGGGUAACCUGCCUGUAAGACUGGGAUAACUCCGGGAAACCGGGGCUAAUACCGGAUGCUUGAUUGAACCGCAUGGUUCAAUUAUAAAAGGUGGCUUUUAGCUACCACUUACAGAUGGACCCGCGACGCAUUAGCUAGUUGGUGAGGUAACGGCUCACCAAGGCGACGAUGCGUAGCCGACCUGAGAGGGUGAUCGGCCACACUGGGACUGAGACACGGCCCAGACUCCUACGGGAGGCAGCAGUAGGGAAUCUUCCGCAAUGGACGAAAGUCUGACGGAGCAACGCCGCGUGAGUGAUGAAGGUUUUCGGAUCGUAAAACUCUGUUGUUAGGGAAGAACAAGUACCGUUCGAAUAGGGCGGUACCUUGACGGUACCUAACCAGAAAGCCACGGCUAACUACGUGCCAGCAGCCGCGGUAAUACGUAGGUGGCAAGCGUUGUCCGGAAUUAUUGGGCGUAAAGCGCGCGCAGGCGGUUUCUUAAGUCUGAUGUGAAAGCCCCCGGCUCAACCGGGGAGGGUCAUUGGAAACUGGGGAACUUGAGUGCAGAAGAGGAGAGUGGAAUUCCACGUGUAGCGGUGAAAUGCGUAGAGAUGUGGACGAACACCAGUGGCGAAGGCGACUCUCUGGUCUGUAACUGACGCUGAAGCGCGAAAACCGUGGGGACCGAACCGGGAUUAGAUACCCUGGUCAGUCCACGCCCGUAAACGAUGAAGUGCCAAGUGGUAAAACGGUUUCCCCCCCUCUUAAGGGCAGAAGUCAACCCCAUUUAAACAACACCCCCCCGGGGGAAAAACCUUCCGAACGACCCCAACCCCGAAAUGAAAUUAAAAC